rnacentral:rRNA from 1 species
AAGUCCCCUUCGGGGGACAAGUAGAGUGGCGCACGGGUGAGUAACACGUAGGUAAUCUACCUUCGGAUGGGGAAUAACAAUCGGAAACGAUUGCUAAUACCGCAUAAUGCAGCGGCACCUAAUGGUGACAGUUGUUAAAGCGGGGGAUCGAAAGACCUCGCGUCUGAAGAGGAGCCUGCGGCGGAUUAGCUAGUUGGUAAGGUAAUGGCUUACCAAGGCAACGAUCCGUAACCGGCCUGAGAGGGCGGUCGGUCACACUGACACUGACAUACGGGUCAGACUCCUACGGGAGGCAGCAGUCGGGAAUUUUGGGCAAUGGGCGAAAGCCUGACCCAGCAACGCCGCGUGAAGGAUGAAAUCCCUCGGGAUGUAAACUUCGCAAGAACGGGAAGAAUAAGUAGGGGACAAUACCCCCUAUGAUGACGGUACCGUUUGUAAGCUCCGGCUAACUCCGUGCCAGCAGCCGCGGUAAUACGGGGGGAGCAAGCGUUGUUCGGAUUUACUGGGCGUAAAGGGCGCGUAGGCGGCCAGCACAAGUCAGUUGUGAAAUCUCCGAGCUUAACUCGGAAAGGUCAACUGAUACUGUGCGGCUAGAGUGCGGAAGGGGCAACUGGAAUUCUUGGUGUAGCGGUGAAAUGCGUAGAUAUCAAGAGGAACACCUGCGGCGAAGGCGGGUUGCUGGGCCGACACUGACGCUGAGGCGCGAAAGCCAGGGGAGCGAACGGGAUUAGAUACCCCGGUAGUCCUGGCCUUAAACGAUGAAUGCUUGGUGUCUGGGGUUAUAUAGUCCCCGGGUGCCGUCGCUAACGCUUUAAGCAUUCCGCCUGGGGAGUACGGUCGCAAGACUG